CGCACAUUGCGCCCGCUGGAACUCCGGCGGGCAUGCCUGUCCGAGCGUCAUUUCAACCUUCAGGCCCCCCUUCAGGGGGAGGGCCUGGUGUUGGGGCUCGGCCGCUACCCAGCGGCCGUCCCCUAAAUGCAGUGGCGGCCUCGCCGCAAUCCCUUGCGUAGUACUGUACCUCGCACUGGAGAGCGACGCGGCCACGCCGUAAAACCCCCAAUUUUUACUGGUUGACCUCGGAUCAGGUAGGAAUACCCGCUGAACUUAA
rnacentral:misc_RNA from 1 species